rnacentral:lncRNA from 1 species
UUCCAGGACAGCUUGGGCUACAUGGUGAGGUCAAGGCCAGCCUGAACUGCAUCUUCAUUCAUAAAGAUGAGUGCCUAAGGAUCCGGCACUGAGCAACUUUUAGCUCUUCCUCAAACUCAAAAUGACCGUGAAAGGUCAUUGAACACAAUCAGUUCAGGACACUGAGGCAGCCACAGCAGAGCAACUAAAGACCCUCAUGAAGGAGGACUUCCAGAGCUG